AUUGAACGCUGGCGGCAGGCUUAACACAUGCAAGUCGAGCGGGGUGAUGGUGCUUGCACUAUCACUUAGCGGCGGACGGGUGAGUAAUGCUCAGGAAUCUGCCUAUUAGUGGGGGACAACAUUUCGAAAGGAAUGCUAAUACCGCAUACGUCCUACGGGAGAAAGCAGGGGAUCUUCGGACCCUGCGCUAAUAGAUGAGCCUAAGUCGGAUUAGCUAGUUGGUGGGGUAAAGGCCUACCAAGGCGACGAUCUGUAGCGGGUCUGAGAGGAUGAUCCGCCACACUGGGACUGAGACACGGCCCAGACUCCUACGGGAGGCAGCAGUGGGGAAUAUUGGACAAUGGGCGGAAGCCUGAUCCAGCCAUGCCGCGUGUGUGAAGAAGGCCUUAUGGUUGUAAAGCACUUUAAGCGAGGAGGAGGCUACUUUAGUUAAUACCUAGAGAUAGUGGACGUUACUCGCAGAAUAAGCACCGGCUAACUCUGUGCCAGCCGCCGCAGUAACAC
rnacentral:rRNA from 1 species